AUGCGCAUGCGCAGACAGAGUGUGCUAGCGGCGGGCCUUGACCUUUCGGGAAAAAAACUCACGGACGGUGACAGCGAAACGGAUAACAGUCUUCAGUACCUGCUGGACUUUGAAGCUGUGGAUUCUGGGACUGUUAGAAAAGAGGCAGCGGCGAGAGGGGAGACCUCGGCUCAUCCAGCUGGAGAGCCUGACCAGGAGGAGUCGAACAUUAACUCAGCUCUUCCAGGGCACCCUGCAGACUCGGCUGCUGGCAUCGGCGAGGGAUGACGUGAACGCCAAACUGGAGUCCAUCACAGGUCAACUGCAGCUCCUUGUCUCAGAGUGGGAGGGAUUUGAAGCACAAAGGGAGGAGCUUGUCGUUUGGUUGGCUGAUAUGGAUGUCCGCCUGAGUGAGGUUGACCAGCUGACAGGAAACACCAGUGAAAAACUGAAACAACUGCAGGUGUGGGCUUGUUUUGAUAUGACAUAUGUUUGAUAUGAAACAUACGUCAGAGACAUUGUCCUAAACUGGACUAACAAAGGACCAUGAGUACAACAUGAAACGUA